AGCGAACGCUGGCGGCAGGCUUAACACAUGCAAGUCGAACGGGCUUCUUCGGAUGUCAGUGGCAGACGGGUGAGUAACACGGGGGAACGUGCCCUUCGGUUCGGAAUAACUCAGGGAAACUUGAGCUAAUACCGGAUACGCCCUCUUGGGGCAAGGUUGACUGCCGAAGGAUCGGCCCGCGUCUGAUUAGCUUGUUGGUGGGGUAACGGACUACCAAGGCGACGAUCAGUAGCUGGUCUGAGAGGAUGAUCAGCCACACUGGGACUGAGACACGGCCCAGACUCCUACGGGAGGCAGCAGUGGGGAAUAUUGGACAAUGGGCGCAAGCCUGAUCCAGCCAUGCCGGGUGAGUGAUGAAGGCCUUAGGGUUGUAAAGCUCUUUUGUCCGGGACGAUAAUGACGGUACCGGAAGAAUAAGCCCCGGCUAACUUCGUG
rnacentral:rRNA from 1 species